rnacentral:rRNA from 1 species
CCCAGACUCCUACGGGAGGCAGCAGUGAGGAAUAUUGGUCAAUGGGAGAGAUCCUGAACCAGCCAAGCCGCGUGAGGGAAGACGGCCCUGUGGGUUGUAAACCUCUUUUGUCGGAGAACAAAACCCGGGACGUGUCCCGGACUGCGUGUAUCCGAAGAAAAAGCAUCGGCUAACUACGUGCCAGCAGCCGCGGUAAUACGUAGGGGGCAAGCGUUAUCCGGAUUUACUGGGUGUAAAGGGAGCGUAGACGGACUUGCAAGUCUGAUGUGAAAAUCCGGGGCCCAACCCCGGAACUGCAUUGGAAACUGUAUAUCUAGAGUGUCGGAGAGGCAAGUGGAAUUCCUGGUGUAGCGGUGAAAUGCGUAGAUAUCAGGAGGAACACCAGUGGCGAAGGCGGCUUGCUGGACGAUGACUGACGUUGAGGCUCGAAAGCGUGGGGAGCAAACAGGAUUAGAUACCCGAGUA